rnacentral:rRNA from 1 species
CUGGUGCCAGCAGCCGCGGUAAUUCCAGCUCCAAUAGCGUAUACUAAAGUUGUUGCGAUUAAAAAGCUCGUAGUUGGAUCUCAGGCAUGGGCGCACGGUCCGCCUCGCGGCGGUCACUGUGUGUUUUGUUUCCCCUCCUACGCUUCCCGGUUGUUCAGCCCAUGGUGCUCUUCAUUGAGCGUUUUGGGUGGCCGGAACGUUUACUUUGAAGAAAUUAGAGUGUUCAAAGCAGGCACGUUGCCUGAAUAAUGGUGCAUGGAAUAAUGGAAUAGGACCUCGGUUCUAUUUUGCUGGUUUUCGGAACACGAGGUAAUGAUUAAGAGGGACAGACGGGGGCAUCCGUAUUGCGGUGUUAGAGGUGAAAUUCUUGGAUCAUCGCAAGACGAACAACUGCAAAAGCAUUGGCCAAGCAGGUUUUCAUUAGUCAAGAACGAAAGUCAAAGGUUCAAAGACAAUAUAUUC